AGUUAUUUAUUGAUACUCCUACGUUGAUCUAAAAAAAAAGCAAUCAAGGUAGAUCUGACCAUUCUUCUCCUUGCACCACAGUGUAGACAUUCCUUGUACUGAUAGCCUCCCCUCAGGUCCCCUAAACACUCCAUCGGCAGCCUCACACCUUCCUUUAGAUCCAGCCAUCACCCCUCUCCAGGCGCCUUGCCCUCCACUCCCCUCCACAGCCCAGCCCCUCUCCCCAGCUCCACACUUACUGUGCGCGAAGCUUGUUGACACCUCCUGUCUGCUCUGGAAGCAGCACGAUUGACUCAGCAUGUUCUGAAGUAAGGGAGUCCUCUCUGUCUCCCCUUCCUCCAUGAUCCCUCCUUUUUCUGUUGGAAGACCCAUGACUCCUUCAACCAUGCAGCCUGAGACCCUAAAUCAUCUUUGACUCCUCCUCCACAUAUACCCUUCUUACUCCUUCUCACUAGCAUCAACUUCACCUCUUUAACUGCCCUUUGGAUCUUCCAGCCCCUCCUCUCCCACAUUUCCCUGUGCAUGCUUCCAUGUUCUCCAGUCCCUCCUGAGCAUGCCCAGUGAUUUCCACCUCCAGCUCUUCAACAAACCUAAGUUCUCCUGGCCCACAAUCAAACGUGCAAGUCUUUGUCCUGAUAUUACCGACCACUCGAUAAGGUUCCAUUCUUCCUUUACACCCUACAUCAGCCAAUCCAGAAAAGAUGUUGUUGAAGGGACACCUGCCUUUCCUGUCUCUGUGCCUUUGGUCUUGCAGCUCUCAUCCCCUGGACCGCUCUUGAGUUCCCACCGAGGCCCUCGCAGAGACCACAUCUUUCAUGAAGCCCCUGAUCCACCAACCGCUGGGAUCUCUCCCUCCGCUGAACCACCGUAGCACUUUAUUUGUACCUUUCUCAUGGCACUUACCAUAUUCUGCCUUGUAUUAUAGUUAUUUGUGCACUUGUCCUAUGACUGUUCUUAGACUGUAAGCUCGCCAAGGGCAGGGACUGUUUUAUUCAUCAGUACUCCAUCACAGCACCAGGUGUGGUGCCUAGCACACAGCAGUUGCUCAAUAAAUGUUUGUUGGAUUAAAU
rnacentral:lncRNA from 1 species